AGAUGAAAGAGAAAGAAACAUGGAGUUUCCUAGGCAGUUAAUGUUCCUCAUGAUAUACUGACAUAGCCAAAACAACAGGUGUGUAGCUUCCAGUGAGCGAAGUAACAACAAGAGAAACCCCAAUAAAAGAAGAUAUGGGCCACUGGUGGUCAAUGCAGGCUUGUCGGUGGCGUAUAGGGACUACAUCAACUUGCCUGUCACGGCAAAGGGGGGCCAAGCUGGAGAUGAGCUGGUGAUAAACAAUCUCAGGCCGAGAAAUGUUGUCGAAACUUGUCGAAGAGAAUGUUGUAAAAAAUAUAAGGUGAAAAUGAUUUUAAAUUGAAAGAAUGGAUUUCUUGCUCCGGAGCGCUCCCAGCCCCUGCUUCGCCGCCAUUGCCCUGAUGCUUAAGCAGGCCAGCCUUCCCGCCUCAUCUGGGGGCCUAUGGGCAUGAGUCACCACCUCGGUAGGCCAUGUAGUAGGCGGUCUCGCUUCCCCAACACAGGUACUUGCAAGAACCAACAAGGCCAAGACGACUCUUUGCAUCGAGAACAUGCAGAUGGACGAGAGCUGCAUUUAUAAUUGAUUGGCAAGGCAUGGUAUGUUCCUCUCGCUCUCCUAUGCAAGGCAAUAGAACAAUGGUCUUCCUGAAGCCAGUGCGGGAGCCACGCACGCCACUGGUGCUGGCGAGUGUGUGAGGCACAUCGACAACGCACUGCAUCUCAGUCGGCUUAGAGAUGCCCUCCUCUGGUGUCACGGACAACAACUCAUCCUCUUGCCGGCCGUCCACUUCGGACAUCGAACAGUACAUGACGCAUCGCUCCUGUGCCUCCCCAUACACCAGUGUGGGAGGGACGCAACCUAGUUGA